CUAGUUCUGAUGAUAACCACUUGAAAUUAUUGUCAGAUUCUACAAAUUUAAGGGCACAAUUUCCCUAAAGAUCUGCUGCCUCAUAUUAGAUGGCCACCCACAUGUUUGGGAAGGUGAGUAAUCUGUUUAUAGUUCCAGUUGACUAGGAAGGCACUUAAUAGUCUCCCACAGGCACUUAAAGUAGAAUGACUAGCAAGAAACUCCAGGAAGCCCUACACAAAAGAUUACAGUUUCAUCAUAAAGACUAUAUAUUGGAAUAGCGGCCAGACGAAAACCUGAAUGAAAGAGAAGAAUACAAAGAAAAAAACCCACAAUACCAGAUUUGGGAUACUUUCCUAUGCUUUGUUGGUCAGAGAGGUCUCAGAAGCAUCCAAAGCAAUAUGGAUUAUCAUCACUGCUUUUGAUUGGUUGCCCACAAGAACAUGAAGGGUUCCACUAAAAGACCUCAACAUAAAUCCAACCACACUGAACCUAUUAGAAGACAAAGUCUUCUAAUUAAUUGGUACAGGAGACCACUUCCUGAACAUUACACCAGU
ensembl:lncRNA